rnacentral:rRNA from 1 species
AGAGUUUGAUUAUGGCUCAGGAUGAACGCUAGCUACAGGCUUAACACAUGCAAGUCGAGGGGCAGCAUGAUCUUAGCUUGCUAAGAUUGAUGGCGACCGGCGCACGGGUGAGUAACGCGUAUCCAACCUUCCCCUUAGUAGGGCAUAGCCCGUAGAAAUGCGGAUUAAUACCCUAUGUUGUAUAUUGAGGACAUCUGAUUUAUACCAAAGGUUCACCGCUAAGGGAUGGGGAUGCGUCUGAUUAGGUAGUCGGCGGGGUAACGGCCCACCGAGCCUACGAUCAGUAGGGGUUCUGAGAGGAAGGUCCCCCACAUUGGAACUGAGACACGGUCCAAACUCCUACGGGAGGCAGCAGUGAGGAAUAUUGGUCAAUGGACGAGAGUCUGAACCAGCCAAGUAAGCGUGCAGGAUGACGGCCCUAUGGGUUGUAAACUGCUUUUAUACGGGGAUAAAGUGACCUACGUGUGGGUUUUUGUAGGUACCGUAUGAAUAAGGACCGGCUAAUUCCGUGCCAGCAGCGGC